rnacentral:rRNA from 1 species
UACGUAGGGUGCAAGCGUUAAUCGGAAUUACUGGGCGUAAAGCGUGCGCAGGCGGUCCGCUAAGACCGAUGUGAAAUCCCCGGGCUUAACCUGGGAACUGCAUUGGUGACUGGCGGGCUGGAGUAUGGCAGGAGGGGGGGUAGAAUUCCACGUGUAGCAGUGAAAUGCGUAGAGAUGUGGAGGAACACCGGUGGCGAAGGCGGCCUGCUGGGCAGUGGCUGACGCUGAGGCGCGACAGCGUGGGGAGCAAACAGG